rnacentral:rRNA from 1 species
CGGGUGAGUAACACGUAUCCAACCUGCCGUCUACUCUUGGACAGCCUUCUGAAAGGAAGAUUAAUACAAGAUGGCAUCAUGAGUCCGCAUGUUCACAUGAUUAAAGGUAUUCCGGUAGACGAUGGGGAUGCGUUCCAUUAUAUAGUAGGCGGGGUAACGGCUCACCUAGUCUUCGAUGGAUAGGGGUUCUGAGAGGAAGGUCCCCCACAUUGGAACUGAGACACGGUCCAA